AUGAACGCUGGCGGCGUGCCUAAUACAUGCAAGUCGAGCGAACAGACGAGGAGCUUGCUCCUCUGACGUUAGCGGCGGACGGGUGAGUAACACGUGGAUAACCUACCUAUAAGACUGGGAUAACUUCGGGAAACCGGAGCUAAUACCGGAUAAUAUAUUGAACCGCAUGGUUCAAUAGUGAAAGACGGUUUUGCUGUCACUUAUAGAUGGAUCCGCGCCGCAUUAGCUAGUUGGUAAGGUAACGGCUUACCAAGGCGACGAUGCGUAGCCGACCUGAGAGGGUGAUCGGCCACACUGGAACUGAGACACGGCCCAGACUCCUACGGGAGGCAGCAGUAGGGAAUCUUCCGCAAUGGGCGAAAGCCUGACGGAGCAACGCCGCGUGAGUGAUGAAGGUCUUCGGAUCGUAAAACUCUGUUAUUAGGGAAGAACAAAUGUGUAAGUAACUAUGCACGUCUUGACGGUACCUAAUCAGAAAGCCACGGCUAACUACGUG
rnacentral:rRNA from 1 species